rnacentral:rRNA from 1 species
GAUGAACGCUGGCGGCGUGCCUAAUACAUGCAAGUCGAGCGAAUGGAUUAAGAGCUUGCUCUUAUGAAGUUAGCGGCGGACGGGUGAGUAACACGUGGGUAACCUGCCCAUAAGACUGGGAUAACUCCGGGAAACCGGGGCUAAUACCGGAUAACAUUUUGAACCGCAUGGUUAGAAAUUGAAAGGCGGCUUCGGCUGUCACUUAUGGAUGGACCCGCGUCGCAUUAGCUAGUUGGUGAGGUAACGGCUAACCAAGGCAACGAUGCGUAGCCGACCUGAGAGGGUGAUCGGCCACACUGGCACUGAGACACGGCCCAGACUCCUACGGGAGGCAGCAGUAGGGAAUCUUCCGCAAUGGACGAAAGUCUGACGGAGCAACGCCGCGUGAGUGAUGAAGGCUUUCGGGUCGUAAAACUCUGUUGUUAGGGAAGAACAAGUGCUGGUUGAAUAAGCUGGCACCUUGACGGUACCUAACCAGAAAGCCACGGCUAACUACGUGCCAGCCGCCGCAGUAA